UGAAUCCGCGCGGGAGAGUUCCCGGUGGCGCUUCGAAGGAAGCGCGUCGCCCGGGGCGCCGAAGGAGCAAGUCCCUCCCUUGAAUCUCUCAGGCCCCGUACCGCGCGGGCGAG
rnacentral:ncRNA from 2 species